rnacentral:rRNA from 1 species
UACGUAGGGUGCAAGCGUUAAUCGGAAUUACUGGGCGUAAAGCGUGCGCAGGCGGUUUUGUAAGUCUGUCGUGAAAUCCCCGGGCUCAACCUGGGAAUUGCGAUGGAGACUGCAAGGCUAGAAUCUGGCAGAGGGGGGUAGAAUUCCACGUGUAGCAGUGAAAUGCGUAGAGAUGUGGAGGAACACCGAUGGCGAAGGCGACAUCCUGGACCGGUAUUGACGCUGAGGCGCGAAAGCCAGGGGAGCAAACGGG